GGCGAUAGCUCAGUUGGGUAGAGCGGAGGACUGUAGAGUGCAAUCAGCAGUGAUCCUUAGGUCGGUGGGUUCAAAUCCGCCCUCGCCG
rnacentral:tRNA from 1 species